rnacentral:rRNA from 1 species
AUGAACGCUGGCGGCGUGCCUCAUACAUGCAAGUCGAGCGCACAGACGAGGAGCUUGCUCCUCUGACGUUAGCGGCGGACGGGUGAGUAACACGUGGAUAACCUACCUAUAAGACUGGGAUAACUUCGGGAAACCGGAGCUAAUACCGGAUAAUAUAUUGAACCGCAUGGUUCAAUAGUGAAAGACGGUUUUGCUGUCACUUAUAGAUGGAUCCGCGCCGCAUUAGCUAGUUGGUAAGGUAACGGCUUACCAAGGCGACGAUGCGUAGCCGACCUGAGAGGGUGAUCGGCCACACUGGAACUGAGACACGGUCCAGACUCCUACGGGAGGCAGCAGUAGGGAAUCUUCCGCAAUGGGCGAAAGCCUGACGGAGCAACGCCGCGUGAGUGAUGAAGGUCUUCGGAUCGUAAAACUCUGUUAUUAGGGAAGAACAAAUGUGUAAGUAACUAUGCACGUCUUGACGGUACCUAAGCAGAAAGCCACGGCUAACUACGU